AGGGAUUCCCCUAGUAACGGCGAGUGAAGCGGGAACAGCUCAAAUUUGAAAGCUGGCCUUCUGGUCCGCAUUGUAAUUUGUAGAGGAUGCUUUUGGCGCGGUGCCUUCUGAGUUCCUUGGAACAGGACGCCUUAGAGGGUGAGAGCCCCGUACAGUUGGACACCUAGCCUUUGUAAAGCUCCUUCGACGAGUCGAGUAGUUUGGGAAUGCUGCUCUAAAUGGGAGGUAAAUUUCUUCUAAAGCUAAAUACCGGCCAGAGACCGAUAGCGCACAAGUAGAGUGAUCGAAAGAUGAAAAGCACUUUGAAAAGAGGGUUAAAUAGCACGUGAAAUUGUUGAAAGGGAAGCGCUUAUGACCAGACUUUUUCCUGGCGAAUCAUCCGGCGUUCUCGCCGGUGCACUUCGCCAGGUUUAGGCCAACAUCGAUUUCCGCCGGGGGAUAAAGGCUUCGGGAAUGUGACUCCCUCCGGGGAGUGUUAUAGCCCGUUGCGUAAUACCCUGGUGGGGAUCGAGGUUCGCGCUUCGGCAAGGAUGUUGGCAUAAUGGUCAUCAGUGACCCGUCUUGAAACACGGACCAAGGAGUCGAACAUUUAUGCGAGUGUUUGGGUGUUAAACCCUCACGCGUAAUGAAAGUGAACGGAGGUGAGAGCCUUAGGGUGCAUCAUCGACCGAUCCUGAUGUCUUCGGAUGGAUUUGAGUAAGAGCAUAACUGUUCGGACCCGAAAGAUGGUGAACUAUGCGUGGAUAGGGUGAAG
rnacentral:rRNA from 1 species